CUCGUAGGCGGCCAACUAAGUCAGACGUGAAAUCCCUCGGCUUAACCGGGGAACUGCGUCUGAUACUGGAUGGCUGGAGUUUGGGAGAGGGAUGCGGAAUUCCAGGUGUAGCGGUGAAAUGCGUAGAUAUCUGGAGGAACACCGGUGGCGAAGGCGGCAUCCUGGACCAAUACUGACGCUGAGGAGCGAAAGCCAGGGAGCAAACG
rnacentral:rRNA from 1 species